GAUGAACGCUAGCUACAGGCUUAACACAUGCAAGUCGAGGGGCAGCAUGAACUUAGCUUGCUAAGUUUGAUGGCGACCGGCGCACGGGUGAGUAACACGUAUCCAACCUUCCGUUUACUCAGGGAUAGCCUUUCGAAAGAAAGAUUAAUACCUGAUAGUAUGGUGAGAUUGCAUGAUAACACCAUUAAAGAUUUAUUGGUAAACGAUGGGGAUGCGUUCCAUUAGGUAGUAGGCGGGGUAACGGCCCACCUAGCCUGCGAUGGAUAGGGGUUCUGAGAGGAAGGUCCCCCACAUUGGAACUGAGACACGGUCCAAACUCCUACGGGAGCAGCAGUGAGGAAUAUUGGUCAAAUGGGCGAGAGGCCUGGAACCAGCCAAGUAGCGUUGAAGGAUGAAAGGUCCUACGGAUUGUAAACUUCUUUUANACGGGAAUAAA
rnacentral:rRNA from 1 species